CUUAGAGAACAGGAAGUGGGAGCCACAUACCCCGAGCUGGCGGCUUGAGCCUGUGGUAUCUAGGCUCACCUCACUGCGGUUGGUGGAGGUGAUGGAGGUUGCAGCUUGGCCAGCAUGGUAGAAAGGUGGCAGGGUAGGCUCUAGAUUCUAGAGGGCAACCUCUGUUUGCUCAUGCUGGAGCGUGGCAGGUGCACAAUGUUUCCUUGGGAAUCCUCAGCAGGGCACGUCUGGCUUUUACCACCCAGUUGCUUCGAGCCAGGAGAUGGAGGAGUCAUCUGUUGCACGCUGGAGGCUGGAGCCUGCAGAUGGCAUGGUUCUGUGGCUCACCUCGCUGCAGUUGGUGGCAGAGACAGAGACUGCAGCUUGACCAGAGUGGUGGAGUGGGUAUUGUCAUCUGCAUGAGCAAAUCUGGUUCAUCACAUCUUUGCAACAGGAAAAGGAAGGGAGGAUCAUGUGUAUAAUGUUUUAAGGCCAAGAUUCACAACAAGAACAAAGUCUUUAUUAACUUUUGCCUUCAAGAACCUGCAGUGUUGAGCCCUUUUUUAUUUCUGGUAUUACUAUAUGUAUCUCAAGAGCACUCCACAACAAAGAUUCUGCCUGCAAUCCUCCACUUCAAGGUUCCUUUGCAGAUGGACUCCCAUACAGCUGUGGUUCCUCUAAGUAGUUAUAACUACAUCGAAUCAGAGGAAGGAAGCGAGCAAUCAGAGGAAGCAACUAUAUUGAGGAGUGUUGGCUUCUUUAGAAAGCAGGCAGCACCGUUUCAGUGGGUAUUCAGGUCUUGUUUUCAGGUCUAGUGGAAGUCCUAGCAUAUAAUUAUUAAAAU
rnacentral:lncRNA from 10 species